CUUGGACUUAUAUGCAAUUGAUUGGAAGAUAUAAACUCAAGAAGCUCAAAUGGACUUUCUCAGCAUAAUGUACUUCAGGAGGAGUUUAUUGUUGCUUUAACUAGAUUAUUAGUAAUUGACACUUGACUUGAACUUUCAUUAUAAAGGUGCAAAUUUUCAACAAUUCGAUGAGUAAUAUAGAGCAAAUCAAGUUGGCCGGCAUGGCAUUGUUUUAUGGCUUUGAAUCUUUAUAAUCUCUGUUUAUGAAGCUCUAAAUCUUUCUUGAAGCACUUGAAUGAACUUGGAAACUAUGAAGCUAAUACAAGUGGAAAUGGGACUACUCAAGUUCAUAACAUAGCCGAACCAGUCAACAAUUUUCACUUGGAACUGAAACUUGUGUUGAUGCUAGACCAAGUGCCAGACGUAAAGCUUCAAGAUUUGGGAAACCUGUUAUUGAGGAAGAAAACUUGGAAUCUUUUGAUAACUCGAAUCUAGCUGCCUGCUGUCAGUACGACAGUUCUUUAGGCUUGUUAACAAAAAAAUUUAUCAAGUUAAUCCAGGAGGCUGACGAUGGUACUCUUGAUCUAAACAGAACUGCUGAAGUUUUGGAGGUCCAGAAGAGGUGAAUUUAUGACAUUACCAAUGUUCUUGAAGGCAUAGGUCUAAUAGAUAAGACUACUAAGAAUCACAUACGUUGGAAGUGAUGCUGUUGAACACUUGAUGUUAUUUUUAUUUUGUCUUGUUAUUUCUUACAAUUAAUGAGCUUCUUCAUGACAGAGGAUCUAGGAUAUUUGGACCAAGAGAGCUGCGUGAUCAAGUGUCUCAAUUGAAGGCUGAAGUUGAGCGUCCAUAUGCCGAAGAACAUGGAAUUGAUAAUAGCAUAAGGGACAAACUAGAUCAUCUAUCAGAACUGGGAUCUAAUCUGAAUUGUCAAAAGAAUCUUCUUCUGACUGGAGAUGGUCUCAUGAGCCUCCCAUGUUUUAAGAACCAAACUGUCAUUGUCGUUAAAGCUCCCCAUGCUAGUUGUAUAGAAGUUCCUGAUCCGGAUGAGAGGGAUAAUGAUUACCGGCUAAAAUCAGAUCAUGAGGUCAGUGCAGUAGAUAUGUGGGGUAAAGAAGAUUGCUAGUUACUAAACACCUUUGAAAAAAAUUGGAUGGCCAUCAAUUCCGGAUGUUUAUAUAAUUUCUUUCUUUAUUUUUUCCUCCAAUGCGACAAAUAUAAGCAAUGAUUCUCAGUAGGUAGAUAUGAAGGAUAAGUGUAGCACCAGCUCAGGUUUAGUUCAACACAUGCUCUGGUGAUAUAGGUUGAAAUAAGUGGCUGCUGAAGAUAACUUAAAAGGGUUUGUUACAUUUAGAAGUAGAAUGUAAAUUUUAGCAACUAACGAGUGAAUGAUGACGGUCGAUUGCAAGUUAUCACUAAUGGAAAAUUAUCUGUAAUCUUUCACUUCUGUUUGAUAGCAUAGGACAGGAUAAACCAACAUUUUUUUUCUUUUAUUUUUUUGUUGUGUGUUGGGGUUGGGGAAACUUUUGUGUGGUAUUAUGUGUAUGAAAGAUAUAGUUUCUGGC